ACCGGGGAUCCCAUUAAAUUUAAGCAUUGUGCCUCUCCUAUCUUAAGAAAGUCACUAUAUAUAAAAUAGAGAAAAAGUAGGAAUGCCUCACUUUAAAUGUAGCCUUGCCUAUAUUUCCCAAGUCAUAAUACCCAUUGCCCUAAUAUAUCCCAUAUUGGCAGAGUGGUAUUGGCUACCCAUUCCUCACUCCCAGCUCCAUGAAGCAGCUUUGGGGAUGGGGAUGUGAUUCUGGUGCAGAUUUCUGGAGCCAGGGUGGGCAAUAAGUACCUAAUCCCACAGAUACUGAGGUUCUGUGUUCUGACUGUGGAUUGGUGCUUCUGAUCUCGUGGGCUUGUAGGCUAGUCAUCAUUGUUUCAAUCUCCACUGGAUGAAGUGACUUUCAGGAGAUUUUAAAGACUUGCACCUAUUUUUUUUUAAUUCAAAAACAACUACAUAUACAGAAGAAUUCAGAAAGCCACCUCACAUGCUCAUGGAAAGAUACAAGCACUGAAAAAACCUUCUUCAGCUUUUACUUUAGGCUGAUCUCUGGUGCACAGUUAUCUCAUAAUAAUACAAACAAAGGCAAAAGUGCAGCAAAUCCAGGGGAAGGGGGGAGAUAUGAUUUCCAGAGAUAUCAUAUUGUAAGAUUCAAAUGUCCGGUAUUCAACAACAACAAAAACCUGAAGGCAUGCCAAAAACCAGAAAAGUAUGGCCCAAUUAAAGGAACAAAAUGAAUUGACAGAAAACAUACUUGAGGCAGCCCAGAUGUCAGACUCACUAUAAAAAGACAACUGUCUUAAAGAUGCUUUAAAAGCUAAAGAAAUAUAUGAACAAAGGAAAAAGAUGUAUGAGCAAACUGAGGAUAGAAAUAAUGAGAUGAAAUGAUUUUUUAAAAGAAUCAAAAAAUCUGGAUAAAAAAUUACAGUAACAGAAACAAAAAUAUGAAUACAAUAGAGGGAUUCAAAAGAUAAGCAAUUAGAGGAGAGAUUCAGCAAACUUAAAAAUAGGACAAAUAGGACAAAUAUAAAUUAUCAACAUGAAAAAGAAGAGUGAACAGAGCUUAGUGGAACUGUAGCACAACAUCAAUUUGGGAAUCCUUGAAGGGGAAAAGAGAGAAACGGGCAGAGAAACUAUUUGAAGACAUAAUGGCUGAAAAAUCUCCAAAUUUGAUGAAAGACAUGAAUUUGCAAUCCAGCAAGCAGAAUGAACUCUUAAAUAGGAGAACUGCAAAGAGACCCAUACUGAGACACAUAAUCAAAUGUCAAAAGCCAAAGACAGAUAAUCUUGAAAAUAGCAAAAGAGAAGCAACUCCUGUCAUACAAGGGAUCCUCAAGACUAUCAACCAGGGUCUCAUCAGAAACCCUAGAAGCCAGAAGGAAGCUGAUCAAUAAACGUAAAGUGCUGAAGAAAAAAAGCUGUCAAUAGAGAGUUUAUAUUCAUCAAAAUGCUCUUGAAAAAUUAGGGAGAAAUUCACAUAUUCCAACAUAAACAAAAGCUGAGGGAGUUGAUUAUCACUAGACAUGCCCUGAAAAAAAAAUGCUGAAGGAAGUCUAUCAGGUUGAAAUUAAAAGAAGCUAAAAUGUACCCAAUGACAAAACUCCAUGGACAUAAUCAGUACUGGAGCUCAAAUUACAGUUAUACCGGGGAUCCCAUUAAAUUUAAGCAUUGUGCCUCUCCUAUCUUAAGAAAGUCACUAUAUAUAAAAUAGAGAAAAAGUAGGAAUGCCUCACUUUAAAUGUAGCCUUGCCUAUAUUUCCCAAGUCAUAAUACCCAUUGCCCUAAUAUAUCCCAUAUUGGAGCAUAGAUGCUCUAACAUAAAUCAUAAAUUAAGGUAGGUCUUUUACAAACUGGCUUGAUAAAAUGGGACCCCAUGAAUACCCAGUUAAAAUAGUUAAUCUGGUCCAAUAUAGGAUACAACAGGGCCUUCAAGGA
rnacentral:lncRNA from 1 species